rnacentral:pre_miRNA from 1 species
CAUUUACUCCCUCCGUUCGGAAUUACUUGUCUCGGAAAUGGAUGUAUCUAGAUGUAUUUUAGUUCUAGAUACAUCCAUUUCCAAGACAAGUAAUUCCGAACGAAGGGAGUACCUC